GCUGCCCAAACAGGCGUGUUAAAGCAGUGGACCGUGAUGUGUUGCACAGCCUCGCUACUCAAAAGGUGGAUGAAGUUCAUCUGGAUGCGACCGACCCCCAUCUCCACCUGGAAGGCACGCAUUUGCUGAUCCAACCUUGGAGACGGUGACGGGUUUCAAGCAUGUCUGUCCUCCAGCAGUGAAGUUGCAUGUGACCUCGAUGGUGUCAGCAUCGCAGCCCAGGUUUGGAUCGAUCCAAAUGGAAGAACGAGGCGAUACAAGGAGCUCAUUUUUUUUUCCUCCCAAGAGUGAACAGCUAAUGCU